GACGAGGGGUCCUAGCGUUGUUCGGAAUCAUUGGGCGUAAAGCGCAUGUAGGCGGCCUAUCAAGUCAGGUGUGAAAUCCCUGGGCUCAACCCAGGACGUGCAUUUGAUACUGGUGGGCUUGAAUAUAGGAGAGGAUAGUGGAAUUCCUGGUGUAGCGGUGAAAUGCGUAGAUAUCGGGAGGAACACCUGUGGCGAAAGCGGCUCACUGGACCACAACUGACGCUGAGGCGCGAAAAGCUAGGGGGAGCAAACAGGG
rnacentral:rRNA from 1 species